rnacentral:rRNA from 1 species
GGUCAAGCUACAAAGGGCGCAUGGUGAAUGCCUUGGCAUCAGGAGCCGAUGAAGGACGCGAUAAGCUGCGAUAAGCUUCGGGUAGACGCACAUAGUCAGAGAUCCGAAGAUUUCCGAAUGAGGAAA